CCUACGGGGGGCAGCAGUGGGGAAUAUUGGACAAUGGGCGAAAGCCUGAUCCAGCCAUGCCGCGUGUGUGAAGAAGGCCUUCGGGUUGUAAAGCACUUUCAGUGGGGAAGAAAGCCUUGGGGCUAAUACCCUCGAGGAAGGACAUCACCCACAGAAGAAGCACCGGCUAACUCCGUGCCAGCAGCCGCGGUAAUACGGAGGGUGCGAGCGUUAAUCGGAAUUACUGGGCGUAAAGCGCGCGUAGGCGGUCUGAUAAGCCGGUUGUGAAAGCCCCGGGCUCAACCUGGGAACGGCAUCCGGAACUGUCAGGCUAGAGUGCAGAGGAGGAAGGUAGAAUUCCCGGUGUAGCGGUGAAAUGCGUAGAGAUCGGGAGGAAUACCAGUGGCGAAGGCGGUCUUCUGGACUGACACUGACGCUGAGGUGCGAAAGCGUGGGUAGCAAACAGGAUUAGAUACCCGAGUAGUC
rnacentral:rRNA from 1 species